rnacentral:lncRNA from 11 species
CGCGAGGGGAAUGCAGUCGGCCUUCUGUAUCCGCUGGAUUGUUUAUCUCCCGCGGAUACCAAAACCCGUGGAGUCUCGAGUCCCAUUAUAUGCAAUGGGCUGAAGAAAGGGUCCCCCUUGUGAAGAGGCUUCACAUCUCCCCAUUUAGCCUGGAGUUUUCAUGUGGAGAUUUUCUGUGGAUGUAAACCUUGAUUUGUCCUUGUGUGGUUUCCUUCAAGGCAGUGAAAUCUAAUCUUGUUGUCAUUUUUCUCAGUGAAAAUCUCUGUUUCUGUAGAUAGUUUUUGGGUAAUUGGUAAAC